rnacentral:rRNA from 1 species
AUGCUGCUAUGAGCUGUCGUCAGCUCGUGUCGUGAGAUGUUGGGAUAAGUCCCGCAACGAGCGCAACCCCUGUGAGCAGUUGCACGUUUCUGCUCAGACUGCCGCUGUUAAUGCGGAGGAAGGCGGGGAUGACGUCAAGUCAGCAUGGCUCUUACGCCCUGGGCGACACACAC